AGAGAAGAUCGAGAGCUUACAGGACAAUCGGGAAAGAAAGAGAGGAAAGAAAGAAGAGAAGAAGAAGAAGAAAGAGAUGCGUACUCGCCACGAUUACGAAAUCGUCGGUUCAAGUGAGCGUUGUUAUUUGAUUUUUGGGGAUUCCAGGUUAGUAGCCUAUAGAGUGAGAGCGUUGUCGUGGGGACUUUUGGGUGGUUUGAGGCUGCGUCUUUCGGGUAGGACGGUCGUGUCAUUCCCAUCCUGGUAGAUUUCGGGGUGUGACAUAUAGUAUGUACAAAAAUAGGUGGUAAGAAUGAUUAAUUUUGUAGUCAAAUAUGAUAACAUGUCUUAAUGCAAUUUAGGACAGGAAAUUAAAAAAAAAAAGAAAUUGACUAGAGAGAGGGGCGACGAAUGUGGAUGGCCGGCAGCGAAGCAACAAUGCUGCUAUCGCCCAAAAGCAACCCCAUAUCGCGUUGCCAAGGUGCGAGCACGGUUCGGCUCGCAUGAAAAAUUGAAACCCACUGCAAUAAUAUGAUUUUUCUCACCUACUCGCGUCUCUUUCUUUCAGUUUUCUUCUUCCCCUUUUGGAGUCUUUCCCUCUCUGCCUUUCCUUGUUUUUCCUCACCUACUUAUAUCUCCCCUACUAUAAAAAUAAAA